CAUUGGGUGCAUUCAGCAGACGCAAUCGCUAACUAAUCGAUUAGUGAUUUUCUGCUGAAUGCCACAUAAAUUGUGGCAUUCAGCAUGUAAAUCACAAAUCGAUUACUAAUCGAUUAGUUAGCGAUUGCGUCUGCUGAAUGCACCCAAUAUAUACCUCUAUGGUGCAAUCCGAUUAAUUUGCGCUGAAACGCUGACAGUUUUUUUACUAGUGAACGACUGACGUUUGACAUUCGAUUGAGAGUGUUCUGUGUUCCAUUUGUUUAUGUUUUUAUUCUUUGUUUAUAUAAUUUAUAACCUAGACAGUUUUGUUUUUAAAUAAAACUGAAACUGUCUAACUAAACUAAAAUGGAUAAUAUUCUUGAAGAACUUUUGUUUGGGGACGAAAUUAGCAAAUGCCGUUAUACAUUUAGCAGAUGUACCUACCUCAAAUUAUUCCAGAAGGAUGAGAUGAAAUUAAAUAUAUAUAAACCAUAAUUCAAUAUCCAAUUUAGAGAACAUUUUCAUAUGUCCAGAACUACUUUCCAGGAACUAUUUAAUUGUAUUGGUCAUAUCCACCAAUUUGAAAACAGAAUAAUUCUAUUGGAAAAAAUUAAUGUUUAUGAUGUGGA